GCCUGAGUGGCUCAGUUGGUUGAACAUCUGACUUUAGCUCAGGUCAUGAUCUUGCAGUUUGUGGGUUUGAGCCCCGUGUCGGGCU
rnacentral:tRNA from 1 species